AGUGAACGCUGGCGGUAGGCCUAACACAUGCAAGUCGAACGGCAGCACAGUAAGAGCUUGCUCUUACGGGUGGCGAGUGGCGGACGGGUGAGGAAUACACCGGAAUCUACUUUUUCGUGGGGGAUAACGUAGGGAAACUUACGCUAAUACCGCAUACGACCUACGGGUGAAAGCAGGGGAUCUUCGGACCUUGCGCGAUUGAAUGGGCCGAUGUCGGAUUAGCUAGUUGGCGGGGUAAAGGCCCACCAAGGCGACGAUCCGUAGCUGGUCUGAGAGGAUGAUCAGCCACACUGGAACUGAGACACGGUCCAGACUCCUACGGGAGGCAGCAGUGGGGAAUAUUGGACAAUGGGCGCAAGCCUGAUCCAGCCAUACCGCGUGGGUGAAGAAGGCCUUCGGGUUGUAAAGCCCUUUUGUUGGGAAAGAAAAGCAGCAGGUUAAUACCCCGCUGUUCUGACGGUACCCAAAGAAUAAGCACCGGCUAACUUCGUG
rnacentral:rRNA from 1 species